rnacentral:rRNA from 1 species
AUUGAACGCUGGCGGCAGGCCUAACACAUGCAAGUCGAACGAGUGGCGGACGGGUGAGUAAUGCCUGGGAAACUGCCUGAUGGAGGGGGAUAACUACUGGAAACGGUAGCUAAUACCGCAUACCAUCAGAUGUGCCCAGAUGGGAUUAGCUUGUUGGGGGGGUAACGGCUCACCAAGGCGACGUUCCCUAGCUGGUCUGAGAGGAUGACCAGCAAAACGGGAACGGAGACACGGUCCAGACCCCGACGGGAGGCAGCAGUGGGGAAUAUGGCACAAGGGGCGCAAGCCUGAUGCAGCAAUGCGGGGUGUAUGAAGAGGGCCUUCGGGUUGGAAAGUACUUUCAGCGGGGAGGCGUUACCCGCAGAAGAAGCACCGGCUAACACCGUGCCAGCAGCCGCGGUAAUA